rnacentral:lncRNA from 1 species
AAAAGCUUCACUGUGUAAGAAGUGUGAAAGACUUCUAGCAUGUAGCUCUGUUAAAGGCCUGGCUGAUAGCUCUGUACAGCAGAAAAUCUCUUCCACCAUCAUUCACUGAGGGCUUGGAUUUAUUGGGCAGCUGCUUGCUUUGCUUCUGUGGCAGAGGUGCUGUGUUUGACAACUCUUAGCCUCUGGAAGAUGUUUUUUUUUAAGGCAAUCUGUUCCUAUCCUUAAUUAGAAAAACAAUGGACAAAAAAGAGCCUGCACUGUGGUCACUUGGCUUUCUGCGUUUACAUUUCCAUUUAUUGUGUUCAUUAAGUGCAUGUAACAAGAAUCUCCACAGGCUUUGGUGUACAGAGGGUUACCAAAUUGUUUUUUGUAUGUGGACUUCCAAUUAAAAUUUCCAAUUUCCAGGUCCACUGCUUUGUCUCUACGAGCUCCAAAGAGAACCAAAAGCGGGGAGAAAUGGCUCCACAAAUUUCAGCCUCUGUACUUAUUACAAUCUGGUUAGGAGGCUCCUGCUAUUCACCGGCUUAGAAAACAAUUUGAAAUUCAAUUCUGGGUUACAGGCCCUUCCCUGGGGUACCUCAUGUUUGAGACACAAGAAGGGACAGCUCCGUUCAGCUUCCUGCCAUUGGAAGGGUGUCCGUGUGCUAUUUCUUCAGCAUUCAGGAGUUGAGAACUGCAGAGGAGCUGUGGCCAAACUCACUCCCAGGCAUCCCCAGCAAUUUUCAGCUUUCUUAGUAUUUUGAGCAUUUCCCCAUGUGAAGAAGGAAGAAAAGGACAAAUGGCUAAAAAGAAUUACUGAAUUGGUACUGAAGUGGUACUCAUGAACCAGGGUACAUCUUCAGGCAUUCUCUAAAGUCCAUGCAAAUAUUAAGGACUUGGUGUUAAUUAACCUACUCUCUGUUCAUCUUCACAGCUUGUGCACACUUAGAGGCCAAGUUCAAAGUCAAGUAGCUAAAUGGUCCUAAGGAAAGUGUCCCAUGUGAUGCCUCAGAGGUCUAGUGCUCAUUCCCAUUAAAGCCAUUUUGGUACUUUCACACGCCUUUGAUAAUGAACAAGAUUCAAAACAUCUUCGCUUUUCUCACUGGUGGCACGGUUUCAAGGAUGACAUGGGCAGCUUCCUAUUUAUGGAGUUCAUUUUACAGGCUUCUUUAUCAACUCCAUUAAUAUUUAUGUAAACUCAAAUUGCUUUCAAUGUCAUUAUCACAACAUAUCAUUUUGCUUCAUUGCAUGUAUUGUAACUCCAAAAGAUAGUUUGACAAGGUUAGGCCCUUACAUAUGCUUAAUGAUGUGUACCUGAUUUUAGCAUUUGCUUAGAUGUGUAUCGGUAUUUGUAUUUUGUAUGCUCCUCUUGGCGCUAUAGGAGUCCUAUAUGAUGAGCUGCAGAAGCUACUGAAGGAAAGGAUGAAUCGAGACAAUUUGCAGAAGUGGAGGCCAUCCAGCUCUACCUCUACACUGACUCUUGAAUGGUGGCAAAUGCCCUGUGGGAAUGGUUACAGCAAUGGAAGCAGAACAGCUGGCAGUACAGAGGAAAACUCAUCUGGGUCACUGCAUUGUGGAAAGGUAUUGCUGCCCAGGUAGAGAACAUGAUUGUGAAGGUACGUCAUCUAGAUGCUCACAUACCCAAGAGUCUGACUGAAGAACCUCAAAACAAUCAGCAGGUGAAAUAGGCUGCUAGGAUUCAAGUGGCUCAGGUAGACUUGGACUGGCAACAUAAGAGUGAACUAUUUUUAUCUCAGUGGGCCCAUGACACUUCCAGCCACCAAGGAAGAGAUGCAACAUAUGGAUGGACUCAGGAUCAAGGGGUGGACUUGACUAUGGAUGGUAUUGCACAGCUUAGCCAUGAAUGUGAAACAUACUCUAAUUAAGCAAGCCAAGCAGAUAAAACCUCUUUGUCAUGGAGAAAGAUGGCCACAAUAUUAAUACAGGGAGGCCUGGCAGGUGGGUUACAUCACUCUCCCAUAAACUUGCCAUGUCAGUUACCAUUUGUUUACAAUGGUGGAAGCAACCACCAGAUGGCUGGAAACAUAUCCCAUGCCCCAUGCCACAGCACAAAAUACUACCCUGGGUCUUGAAAAGCAAGUCGUGUGGUGACAUGGCACUCCAGAAAGAAUUGAGUCAGACAGCAGGACUCAUUUGCAAAAAAAAAAAAAAAAAAAACCACAAAAAACAAAACAAAACAAAAAAAAACCUCAUAGACACCUGGGCCAAGGAGAAUGGUAUUGAGUGGAUAUAUUACAUCCCCUAUCAGACAUCAGCCUCUGGAAAAAUUAAAUGAUAAAAUGGACCGUUAAAGGCUACAUUGAGAGCAAUAGGUGCUGGGACAUUCAAACAUUGAUAUACACAUUUAACGAAAGUCGCCUGGUUCGUCAGUACUUGGUGAUCUGCCAGUCAAGCUGGUCCUGGCCAAUCAAAACUCCUGCAGACCACAGAAGGGGAUAAAGUCCCCAUGGUGCAUAUAAGGAACAUUCUGGGCACAACAGGCUGAGUUAUUCCUGCCGUGGGCAAAGGCAAACUUGCUUGUGGGCUUGCUUUUGCUCAAGGACUUGGGUACAUGCGGUGGGUAACAUGGAAUGAUGGGGAUGUCUGGUGUGUACCUCAAGGUGAUCUGAUGCUGGGUAAGAACAGCCAAUAAUUCUAUGAUGUUAAAUUAUUACAUAAUACUGCGUGUCAUCUUUAUUAUGGUCAUUAUAUGUCUUGUUAACAGUAGUAGAGUAAGAACUACCCUGGUUAAAGAAUGAACUCAGAUGGAACCAGAGUUUGUUUCUGCAUGCAGUAAUCCAAAACUGUGAAUCUUUCCUCCUACACAGAAGGACAGAUAAAGAUAAGGCCCGAAGUUAUGAAAUGAAUGAAUAUCGUGGGCAAUUUACAUGAAGGGCCUAUAGACUACGGGGAAAAGAUGUAUAUAUAUAUAUAUCAAAAAGCAAGAUAGGUGAUAGUAAUGAGAGCAGUUAGGAUGUGUAGUAAUUGUAGUGCCAGAGCAUGAUGGAAAUGGUAUGGAAUUAAGGGUAUGUACCGUCUUAGUUUCAGCUGGGAUAAAAUUUCUUUCUUCAGAGUGUCAGGUGUGAUACCAUGUUUUGGUUCUAGGAGAAAAACAAUGUUGACAACACACCCAUGUUUAUAGCUGCUGCUAAGCAGUGUUGUACAGAGUCAACAUCAUUCUCAGUGAAGGACCCAAGAAGCUGGGAGGGAACAGAAUUAGGACGGCUGACUUAAACUGGCCAAAGUGAUAUUCCAUGUCGUAUGACAUCAUACGGGAGGAGUUUUGAAGGGGGUGGGAGCUCAUCUCUUGCUUUUGCACUACUCAGGAGGCUAUCUGGGCAUCAGCUGGGAGAUGUAGAGCAAUUGCUUGUGCACCGCUUGUUAUAUACAUUUAUAUGUAUAUAUGUUUGUAAUAUUUUUCCUUUUCUCUAUCUUAGUAAACAGUUUUAUCUCAAACCAUGAAUUCUACUUUCUUUUUUUCCCAAUUCUUUCCCCCAUUUCCUUGGGAAGGGAGGAAGUGAGUAAACAACUGUAUGGUGCUCAGAUGCCUAUCAGGAUAAAACACAUUGGGCUUUAGUAGAAAAUGCUAUAAGAUAUCCACCUUAAUCAUUGUUGAAAUAUCUUUCAAAUGCAGUCUCCCACACUGCAUGCUACAUCAUUAGCAAACAAGGUGAAAAUGCACAAUGUCUGAGUAGUUCACAAGUCCAAGCUCACACAGAUCUUCACAGCUAUCUGUUGAGCCAACUUGUUUAAUUAUGGCUGAUGGCAUUAAUUUGGGAAUUUUUAUGUCUAGUGUUUUUGCUGGAAUUGUCAUACACCUCUGGUUACUUGGAAUUUUCAAAGUUCAUUUUCCCAUUUAAACCUUGACAAUGACCUAUAGCACUCUUCUGUUCUGUUAUAUAGUUCUGUUCCAAUAGCCAUGUCUGUGAUAUCUCACUCAUAAACCACAACACCACAUUAAUUAUAUGAAUAUCUAGUACUGUCAGGCUUUGUACCACACAAUUACAGGCAAGCUGAGAUAAGUUUUAAGAACUUGAGCUGUGAUUUGAAUUGCUGUUCUUUCAGUUUGAUACUUGCAAC